UCCCCGUUAUCCGAGGCAGUUUCCACGGCUGUCACCUACAUGUCAAACCCAGGUAAGGUUCUUCGCGUUGCGUCGAAUUAAACCACAUGCUCCACCGCUUGUGCAGGCCCCCGUCAAUUUCUUUGAGUUUUAACCUUGCGGCCGUACUCCCCAGGCGGAUGACUUAAUGCGUUAGCUGCGCCACCGAAAGCCCAUGGCCCCCGACAGCUAGUCAUCAUCGUUUACGGCGUGGACUAC
rnacentral:misc_RNA from 1 species